GGUUGGUGGAGUCCACAGGAGAGCAGACGCAGGCAGGACCGUGGCAGGCUUGUGUGUGUAUGUGUGCGAAUGCGGCCGUGUUCUCAGUAACGUCAGCUACAAGUGUCCGCCAGUGCGGUUACUGUAGCGGGGGGGGACUGGUUCUCCAGAAGCCAUAGCCUUCUUGGACAGGUGCGGUGUGGUCCAAGCGAGCGGCAGGCUAACCCUCAGGUGGUGGGGUCCCUUCACGUUUCCUGUAGCACACCUCGGGUGUCAGUCCUUAUCUUUGGAGUACAGUGUGAUUGCAGUGCGAGUGCAGUGAUUGCAGUGUGAUUCUCACGUGUGAUGUGUGUGAGUCUUCUGGACCGCUUUCCCCUCCUGUAGUCCUGCCGGUCGUGUUAAGCCAUCGCCCUGCUCGGUUUUCCCUUUUCUUAAAGGAAAAUUCCGGUGGUUAGUGGUGUUCGUUGGUGUUCCAAAACAAGUAGCGUAGCGAA